CUAGUUCAUUCCUGGAUAAUAUGAUGUCCUUGUUUUUCCUUCCCCAGACUUUACCACAUGAAAUGAUGCAUCACUUCACAGUCAAAUGCAGUUCUUGAACUUCCUUUAGAAGCAUGCGUAGUGGUGCUCUAUGGAAUGGAAAAAGAAAAAAAGAAAAAUAGAAAAAAGAUAUAAUGUAUCAGACAUGUCUCAAAGAAGAUAAACCGAUUCCUGGAAACUCACUUGCUCCAAUACAGAGCCCUGUGUGGAUUCACAGAAGAUCUGUGUUUCGUAGGCAGGUUUCUGAGAAACAGAAAUUUGUUGAUAUGGACACAAGGUGGAGACUGAGAACCUGGAAGUGCGGCCUUUCUACAAGUUCCUGCUAGAUUCUAGCUGACUCUGUAUGGACUGCAGGUUCCAUGUCAAAUCAUCUUCUUGUUCAAGAAAAGUCAAGAAUCUGCAAAACUUCUCCACACAUAUGCACCAAGGAAAAGCUGUGUGAGUGUACAAGAAAUGAGUAUGUAAAAGUCAGAACAUAGGCCGUCACCAGAAACUCAGUCUAUCAGGUCUUGAACUUGGACAUCCCAGCAUCUAAAACUGUGAGACCAAAUGCUGUUACUCAGCCUGAGUAUCCUUGGUAUUUUAUACAAUAACUGCAUUUGACUAAGACAGUCUAUACCAGAUUGCAUGGAGUGAUCACACCAAUUCUGAAAGUUUAAGAUACUAAACUAUGUUGUUUGAAUGUGGAAAAUCAAAACUAAAGAAGCUAGAAAUCAAGAACAAGUCUGUGAGACAUCAGAAGAAAAGAAUCAUGUCACCCAGUGAACUGGCCAUGCAGACAAUUCAGUCUCUCCUUCAAAGGGAAAAACUCCACAACUCUGGAUCCUGGGGCUAUAUGGAGGACAGCCUGUAUGGAAGGAACCAUGUCAUUCAUUCAUGAUCAGAGACAGUGUUUCUGAGAAAACCUAGCAUAGAACUACGCAAGUGAGAUUUAUCUGGUGGGAGUGAAGGCAGACCCUAGAAUCCUGCCUGAAUGGUUUCAACUAGCUGCCAGCCCUCCAUCAGCUUCAUCUUACUGAUCUGAUUUGCCAGCACCCUGGGAAACUCCAGGAGAAAA